rnacentral:lncRNA from 1 species
AAUAGCUGAUUUUUUCCUAAAACUAUUUAAGGGAUGAAAGGAUGUAUUUUUAGAAGUGAAUAAGCCUUUAGGAAGAGAGAUGAAACAUCUUCAAGAACCUCAGGCAAGAAAGAGCGGCUGUGCUUCACUUAUUAGACAUGACAAAAGGAGUCAUGUGCAAUAACAGCAGUCUUGUUUGUCAUGUUCUAUCAUGGCUAUCAAGUGUUCUCAGUGGUCUUUAAACUGUGAUUAUGAAGUUUUAAGCCAAAAUCACGUUACCUGUGUCAUUUUCAAGGGCUUUUCCUCUUCAGAGCUCCAUUAACUCAUUAGCAAUUCGCCUCUGAGUCGUAGGCGGAGACAGCGCUGCUCUGCACACUUCUCCUCGAGUUAGCUUGUAGCCUAACAUUGCCAGUGUUAGAAACAGGUAACAUAGGAGUGAUUCAGUUCUCGGACACUAAUGUCUUUAGGGGCAUGAUGAAAGCUAAUAUCAUAAUUAGCUUUCUUAUGAGCAUUUCAAUCCACUAACACACAGACUUGUUCCGCCAUUGUCCUCUCUAUUUCUUCUUUAUAUGCAGAGUGUGGCCCGUGUAGCAGGGCUCUGGGGGCGGAGCUUGGAUUGGUUGCAUAUGAAAUCUCACUGUUUCUGAACCUGCCGUUUGGCAGAAAUACCCAGACAAGCAAUUUCCCAUUUAGUUUUCUCAUGAUAUGUCCUGUAGCAUCAGAAAAAUGCAAAAUGAACACAUAAAUAACAAGAAAAACACGAUUUUCAUCGCAGUAGGUCUUUAAUGAUCGUAGGGACCCAGUGUUGUAAUUGAAAUCAAAACCUAUAAGAAUUGAAUAAAUCAAUCAAUUAAACUUCUUUGUUUUAGAGUCCAACAUAAAUGCUUUAUGAGAGGUACCAAGGGGUGUUCUGAGGGAUGGCUGACAGAUUUCUGAAAAACAGUUUUUUCUGCUUGUUAUAAGGAAUUGCAACCUGGAUUGGAGAAAGGGAAAGAGGGACUACUCCAUUAGAAGAUAAGUAAGUAUAUCACUUGUGGUCCUCCUCUCCAAACUUACUUAAAUGUUAAAGACUCUGAUUUGUUCAUUUUGUUGAGUUUCAUGUCUCUUACCCUCUCCAAAUAUGCACAGCAGCAUGUCGGAGUCGUAUCUUUUUCCAUCUAGAGCACAUUUAUUUUGGCUGCCAGAACAACAUGACUUGUAUGUCAAAAUGUUUUCCCUGAUAACAUGUUAUCUCAACAGCCCAUCAGCUUGUGAGAAAGGCCUGUAAAUGACGUAAUGUUUCGCAAGGAUCCAAAAAUCAAGAUAGGACAGGCUGAUAUUGGCAGCCACCAGUAAGAGUCCUUAUCUGACGAGAGAGAGACGAUACGAUACUUUGUCUGAUCUUAGAUGGCGAUCUUAUGGAGAGCAAAAAAUAAAAAACACAAAAACUGUUGGCAAGUACACUUGAGCGGCUGUAAAGAAUACUUUGGGGGGUGGAAAAUACACUGGAUAGCCCACCCAGGUGUCAUCCUUGUGUGGGAAACACUGAAAAAAUCUAUAAUCAACUUCAGGAGUUACAUUUUCUAACAUACCAGUGAGCUCUCUGUCAUUUGACAGUGAUAAAUACUGAAAAAAGUGACUCAAGUCCAGUGAAAGUAGAGAAUAUCAAGCUGAUGUUUGAUUGGUUAUAUGGGCAGUGGAUUAGAGACCGGUGAUUGAUUAUUAAUGCACAGCAGUCUUGUCUUAAUGCUGCAUCUCUUGGUAGGCCUUACUAAUCAAUUGGUGGUCAAUGGAAAAAAAAAGUGUCAAACCACAACAAUUAUUCACACAAAUGCUCAGUCAGUAUGUUUACCGGUUUUCAGUUUGAAACCCUGGAGCCAAAAGGUGUUGGGUUACCAUGUUGGAGAGGUUUAUUCUGAUUAGACAUACCAACCUGUUAGUGUUGAAGACCUAACAACUAUAAACCAUAACACAAUUAAAAGGAAUGAGCUAUGUGACAAGAAUCACAGUAGUUAGAGAGACUAAAACUAUUUUUGUGCCAUACUGUAAAAAUGUGUAACUCGGUUAGAAUACAGAAACAUUUUUGUGGCAAAGGCUCAAGGUCCUGAACUUUGAGAGACAGCCUCAGCUGGAGCCUUGAGCGUCUUUUGCACUGAUUUCAUUCAUGAACUUCAGAGGCUGCCGUACAGACGUAAACGAUCCAUGAAUGAGUCCAGACAUACCAUCUUGUCUAUAUGCGUUACCAUAAUUGACACAAAAUAAAGGGUCCUCUUGCCGCUCUAAACAAGAUCAGAGAAGGCAAAGAUGAAUGCAAACACAAAUGCAAAAUCUACAGACAUCUAACAACCCUGAUGAGAAGCCCUGAACCUCACAAGCCAACGUAAAUCUGUCAUGCAUUUGAUUAAAGCCUAUAGAAAAACAAUAUUUAUCAGAUAAAGAAAGCAGGAGAUAAACCUCUAGAAAGAGCGUAAAAAUAAACUGUAUACAACACGGAUGUGGUCCGCUAAUGUGCUGACAUGUUCUAAUGGAAAAAUUGGGUCUGGACUCAUUAAGGGGUUAAACACAUCUUAGUAGAAGCUAACACGCAAGUCUGAUCUCAGUCUCUGUGGUCAAAAUCUGGUUUCUUGUAAUCUUCAGAGGAAUCUUUGUUAUGCACCAAACAUCUGUGUGUCAGUAUCCUCCCAGAGGCACACACAUGUACACACAGACACAGACACACACACACACACAGGUCAGCACACUGAGGAUACUCACAUCUUACAGUGCUGAAAUGAUAGUCCUGUUGAAAGUUUGCUUUUCUUGCUGCCACAAGGACACAUAUGUGCACGAUUAAAGUUAUGCUGAGGUCAAAUCCUUGAAGUCUGUCGUUGAAAUGAGCCAAGGCAGCAGAACUGACCCAGACUGUGAAAUUACAGCCCAUAUAAUACCACCAGAACCCGUCCAGAUUCUAAAUAUCCAGUCAGAAAAGACAGAAAAUGAAGGGCAGAGGUAGAGCUGAUCAGACAUUUUUACAUCACAUAUGUUUAAAAUGUUUUUUAAAAGUCAUAUAAUCAUGUAUUUUGUAGUAUUAACCACAUUAUGGCUGUUGCAGCAUCCUGGUAUUGAUAGUAACCCUCUUUAUUUCAAAAAAGAGGAAAUACUGAUGUCAGAUUGAAUUUAAGGCUACAGUUUUACCGCUCUAGGGCUGGGCGAUAUGGGAAAAAGUUUAUCACUAUAUAUGUUUUCAUAUCAGUCGAUAUCAAUAUAUAUCACGAUAUAAAAAAAUGAAAUUUAACAGUGCUUAUUGUUAGUAUGUCUUUUGCAAUACAAUAAGCUACUGCAUCUGUUAGGUCUUUGUUUCUGUUCGGCGUUUUGUCAUAAGGCGUUGCACUAGAGAAAGAGGACUGACUGGUCGGCUGUUUCAGCUGCACAGGCGCCAUGGGCUCCUUGCUCCGCUCAGGGUUUGUAACCUUUUGCAUUAUGCGUGCUCUUUUCAUUAUGUGUACUCAUCAUAAUUUGCAGUGCACAUUACUCUACUUCAUGUCCAACU